CAGCCGCCGCGGGAAUACGGAGGAUCCGAGCGUUAUCCGGAAUUAUUGGGUUUAAAGGGUGCGUAGGCGGAUAGAUAAGUCAGUGGUGAAAGACGGUGGCUCAACCAUCGCAGUGCCGUUGAUACUGUUUAUCUUGAAUAUGGAUGAGGUAGGCGGAAUGUGGCAAGUAGCGGUGAAAUGCAUAGAUAUGCCACAGAACACCGAUUGCGAAGGCAGCUUACCAAGGCAAAAUUGACGCUGAGGCACGAAAGCGUGGGGAUCGAACAGGAUUAGAUACCCCGGUAGUCCCUGUCUCUUAUAC
rnacentral:rRNA from 1 species